UCGGAUAUGGUGUAACGGCCAACAUUGCCGCCUCUCAUUGACAAGCGCGGCAGCUCGGGGUUCGAUUCCCCGUAUCCGAA
rnacentral:tRNA from 1 species